rnacentral:rRNA from 1 species
AUUGAACGCUGGCGGCAGGCCUAACACAUGCAAGUCGAACGAGUGGCAGACGGGUGAGUGAUGUCUGGGAACCUGCCUGAUGGAGGGGGAUAACUACUGGAAAAGGUAGCUAAUACCGCAUCCCAUCGGAUGUGCACAGAUGGGAUUAGCUAGUAGGUGGGGUAAAGGGGAACAUAGGCGCCGAUCCCUAGCUGGUCUGAGAGGAUGACCAGUCACACUGGAACUGAGACACUGUCCAGACGCCUAAGGGAGGAAGCAGUGGGGAAUAUUGCCAAAUGGGCGCAAGCUUGAUGAAGCCAUGCCGCGUGUAUGAAGAAGGCCUUCGGGUUGGAAAGUACUUUCAGCGGGGAGGCGUUACCCGCAGAAGAAGCACCGGCUAACUCCGUGCCAGCAGCGGCGGUAAUAC